ensembl:lncRNA
AUUACAAUAGCUGCUGGAGCUGUAAGAAAAAAGGAGGAAAAUUACAUAUAUAGACAGAUAGAUAGAAACAGAUAGAAAGACACACAGAGAGAGAGAGAGAGAGAGAGAGAGAGAGAGACAGACAGAAGGCAGACAGACAGAUAGACAGAGAAAGCGAUAGAUAGAGAUAGCGAGAGAGCGAGAGGCCCUGCAAAGCCUUAUAAAGCCCUGCAAUGCCAAGAGCUGAGCCGAGAGAAGAGUCUCCUCACCCGGCUGCUCCUGAACCUCAGCUCACUAACACACACUUACACACACUAACACACACUAACACACACACCCUAACACACACUAACACACGCUUACACACACUAACACACACUAACACACACUUACACACACUUACACACACUAACACACACACCCUAACACACACUAACACACGCUUACACACACUAACACACACUAACACACACUUACACACACUUACACACACUAACACACACACCCUAACACACACUAACACACGCUUACACACCCUAACACACACUAACACACGCUUACACACACACCCUAACACACACACCCUAACACACACUAACACACGCUUACACACACACCCUAACACACACUAACACACACUUACACACACACCCUAACACACACUAACACACACUAACACACACUAACACACACUAACACACACACCCUAACACACACUAACACACGCUUACACACACUUACACACACUUACACACACUAACACACACUUACACACACUAACACACACUAACACACACACCCUAACACACACUAACACACGCUUACACACACUUACACACACUUACACACACUAACACACGCUUACACACACUAACACACAUUUACACACACUAACAAACACUAACACACACACCCUAACACACACUAACACACUUACACACACUAACACACACUAACACACACUAACACACACACCCUAACACACACUAACACACUUACACACUAACACACACUAACACACACACCCUAACACACACUAACACACGCUUACACACACUAACACACACUUACACACACUAACACACACUAACACACACACCCUAACACACACUAACACACGCUUACACACACUAACACACACUUACACACACUAACACACAUUUACACACACUAACAAACACUAACACACACACCCUAACACACACUAACACACGCUUACACACACUAACACACACACCCUAACACACACUAACACACACUAACACACACACCCUAACACACACUAACACACUUACACACUAACACACACUAACACACACACCCUAACACACACUAACACAUGCUUACACACACUAACACACUUACACACACUAACACACACUUACACACACUAACACACACUAACACACACUAACACACGCUUACACACACUAACACACACUUACACACACUAACACACUAACACACACUUACACACACACCCUAACACACACUAACACACGCUUACACACACUAACACACACUUACACACACUAACACACAUUUACACACACUAACACACACUUACACACACACCCUAACACACACUAACACACACUAACACACACUAACACACACUAACACACACUUAUACACACUAACACACAUUUACACACACAAACACACACUUACACACACUUACACACACUAACACACACUUACACACAUUAACACACGCUUACACACACUAACACACACUAACACACACUUACACACACACACUAACACACACUUACACACACUAACACACACUUACAAAUACACACUAACACACACUUACACACACUAACACACACUAACACACACUUGCACACACUUACACACACUAACACACACUUACACACACUAACACACACUUCUACAUCGGGAGCAGCCGGACACAAGAACAAUCACACCAACAAUCAGACGUCACCAAAUUAUAAGUACAGACUCACACACACACACUGGCCAUGGAGACGGGCCGCUAUAAGUACACACUCUCUCUCUCACACACACACACACACACACACACACACACUCACACACACACCAUGUGAGAAACACAGUGUGAUUAGAAGAGAACACCAACACUUGAUCUGAAUACACAGAGAGGAGUUCAGUUCACACUGCACACUCGUCA